GCUUACGGCCAUACCACCCUGAGCACGCCCGAUCUUGUCUGAUCUCGGAAGCUAAGCAGGGUCGGGCCUUGUUAGUACUUGAAUGGGGGACCGCCUGGGAAUACCAGGUGCUGUAAGCU
rnacentral:rRNA from 1 species